rnacentral:rRNA from 1 species
UCAAACUGAAGAUGGCGACCGGCGCACGGGUGAGUAACACGUAUCCAACCUGCCGAUAACUCCGGAAUAGCCUUUCGAAAGAAAGAUUAAUACCGGAUAGCAUACGAAUAUCGCAUGAUAUUUUUAUUAAAGAAUUUCGGUUAUCGAUGGGGAUGCGUUCCAUUAGUUUGUUGGCGGGGUAACGGCCCACCAAGACUACGAUGGAUAGGGGUUCUGAGAGGAAGGUCCCCCACAUUGGAACUGAGACACGGUCCAAACUCCUACGGGAGGCAGCAUG